rnacentral:lncRNA from 1 species
UUUUUUAACGCGCUACAUGUUGCCCAAGCACCAAGCAGCAUUUUCGCUGGAGCACUGGGUAAACUAGAUAAUACCCCGCGCGUUGCUGCGGGAACACAUGCUAAAUAUUAAGAUCCUUACUUGAGUUAUCUGUUGGAGAACUAUAGAUUAUCAUUGAAAGUCCAUCAGAGUAUGACUAACAAACAACCUUCGCCAGCUUUAAAAAGAAUUGUUUUUCAUAGGAAUAUGAAGAAUUAGUGAACCACAAAGUUAUGCUGAAAAAAUAUGUUUCCUAUGAACAACCCAAUAUCACAAUGUAACUACAGUAAAGUCAACCACAAAGUUAUCAUAAUUGUGAGUGUUACAUCUUAUCUAAGUAUGUAACAGUACUAUAUGGCACACAUACUUACAGUCAGUAGUGAUACUUACAUACCAAAAUGUUUUUUUUAAUACAUAUAUAGUAGUAAAGGCGUUCCAUAUAAGGUGGUUGAAAUCUUGACGAUACUAUUUUGUCUACAGAUGCUAUUUAUUAAAUCAUGCUUUUAUUUUUUGAGAACAUAUUUCUUUGAUCGUGUCAAGAUCUUGAACGGAGUGGAGCUGAUCAAUUCUUCAACAAACUUUUUCAUGGAUUUCUUUUGUCAUGUUAAGAUAUUCAACCGAGUGUAGCUGAUCAAUUCUUCAAUGAGAGUGUUGAGAUUUGAUAUAGACAUGUAUGGAGAGUUGCCUGCACAUUAGAAUACAAACAAAAACAAUAUGGAGAUGAAAGAGGUUAAUUUAGCACGUCAUACUCAUGUUAUGACACGAAAAUUGUAACAUGGAACCCAAGUCAGGGCAUCAAAAUCAAUUACAACCUAGAACUUAAAGACUAGGAUGUGUCUCACCUGGCAUACUGAAGACUUCAAAAGGAUGGUGUGGCUGAUCGUGGAGAACAUCCUAAUGGAUAACCAUAUCCAUCCGGGCUAGCUAGCUGCAGCUAAAACUCCCAAGUCCCAACCAUGUCAAGUUAUACACAACUGCACGGAUGCAAGAGAGGACAACCUGGAUCUAGAGGGAGGUGCUAGAAGAUCAGAGGAGGUGUUAGAAGAUCAAUCGAAAAGAGGGAUAAUAUUUGGGUCAUGGGUGGUGCCGGUGUGGAAGAAUGUGAAUGGACAGGAAUAGAGAGAUCAAAUAAUAAUUUUAAUUGCCUCUUGGUGGUGAAUGGAAGUUAAUUGCAAAAUUGAGAAGAAAUUAUGAUGCCUUCGGUUACCAACCCUAUCAAGAGGAGAAAGGAGUUGAAGUCUCAAGAGUAAAUGGGAAGUGAUGCUACCGGAGGAAUGAGAAAGAAAAUGUACCGAUGACACCAUCUAAUUGGGUGACAUAUCAUUAGUGUGAUAUUAUUUUAUAAGUAACACUGGAAGCAAAAGAAAUCAAAUAUAGCAAGACAGAAUACAUGACUUAUACUUGACAGACAACGUCCCAGUAUUCUGAAAUUUCCUAGUUGUAGAAGCUCAGCUUGCCGAAAAAAACUUCCCGUCACCAGAGGAGAAAGUUGCAGCCGGAGGGAGACAAAAUUGUCCGUAACUGCAGGUCUGGAUUCAGUCCACGCCAUGGCUGAGGCUCUCACCGGGGUAGCACUCGAGUGUACGGUCAUCGGGAUCAUUGCACAAACCCUGAAAUCACCAUAAAGAUCCACGAGGAUUUAGCUAGAUUGCAUGUAAGGCUAGUACAUAGUGUGCACGUAUACAUUAGUGGUGAACUUGUGAUUCAGUCUCAGCAAGCUAAAAACUACUCCAGAACAAUGGGAUCACAUGACCUCCACAUCGAGAAGCUUAGUCAGAAGCAGUGAAGUAAAUGGGUGGUGCUCACCUGAAAAGCUAUGUGGCAGACCAGAAUUUGAAGUCUUGGGGAAGACGUAGAUAGACAACGACGACAGUAGCGGAGCACAGCAACUUAGCCGGUUACCAAACGGCGGAUGGCCUGCGUUCCAACCGCACCUUGCAGCAGAGGAAGGGGGUGUGCCCAGCCCGAUGGUGCUGCUCCUCGACGAUCUGGGGCAGCGGCAACGGAACCACGCCCG